GACGAACGCUGGCGGCGUGCCUAAUACAUGCAAGUAGAACGCUGAAGAGAGGAGCUUGCUCUUCUUGGAUGAGUUGCGAACGGGUGAGUAACGCGUAGGUAACCUGCCUGGUAGCGGGGGAUAACUAUUGGAAACGAUAGCUAAUACCGCAUAAAAUUGAUUAUUGCAUGAUAAUUAAUUGAAAGAUGCAACUGCAUCACUACCAGAUGGACCUGCGUUGUAUUAGCUAGUUGGUGAGGUAACGGCUCACCAAGGCGACGAUACAUAGCCGACCUGAGAGGGGGGCCGGCCACCGGGGGCCUGAAACGCGGCCCAGACCCCCACGGGGGGCAGCAGAGGGGAUUCUGGGGAAAGGGGGGAAACCCGGACCGAGCAACGCGGGGGGAGGGAAGAGGUUUUUCGGAGCGAAAACCUCUGUUGAAAGAGAAGAAGGGGGGGGAGAGGGAAAAUUUCACACUGGGACGGUAUCUAACAAAAAAGGGCCGGCUACCUACGCC
rnacentral:rRNA from 1 species